UCGUGAAGAAUUACACGGGAGAGUACGGGCGGUCUGCGAAAACCUACCUUCAAGCCAACUCCGCUCGAUCCGAACCAGAUCCUCCGGUACGGCAUCCUUCCUCCGCUGAAAACUGCACCCCAGGGAACCGCACCUAUCGUGUCGCCACCACCAGGUCUGAAACAGAAAGUACAGAGGCCCCGAGAGAGAGAUGUGCCAACUCGGAUACAGCAUAUUCGCGGGCCACAUUUGGAUUACGUCAUUCGCACGCACACAAAGGCGCUCACCAGUCGUGAAUCAGCAACAAAAGCAUCGGGCCGAUCUUACUCGAGCGCGUGCAAGAUCUCGAGGCGAAGAUCGGCGGAAGAUCGCCCUUCUUGCCUCCUCCUGCUCCUGCUCCCGCGGAGAUCUCGAAUUCACGGCGCGGCGUGCACGAUCGAUUCUCCGCGUCGCGCAACGCUCGAACGAACUCGUCCGGCUCGCCGAUGGAACAAAUUACUAUAGAUAUUGCGCGCCGCAGAUCGCCGCCGAAGUCGCCGCUCGGACUCUGCUCUUCUUGCGCCCGUCGUUUCUUCUUCUCCGAUGACGAGGAGGACGAGGAGAGGACGAGGACGACGACGACGUCGUCUACCGUUAGGAACCACAGAACAAGAAAAGUAGCGCGCGAAACGAAACGCGGUUCCAUCGGCUUCACGCCUCGUCCGCGCCGCCGAGCUCUCCUCCGCGGCUCUUCGCCGACCAUUGUCCGGAAGACGGGAAAUACAUAUCGAUCGGAAAACGGCGCAAAAGUUCGAGUGUCAGGGCGUGGGACGUACAGACGAAUUGUUGCGAUGUGAACAAAGUAUCGCAGCGGGCUCCAUUAUCGUUCCUCUAUUAUUAAUUGCCAGACAGCUGCAACAUCGUGUACGGCACAGGCAUAGACGCAUCGCUCCGACCCGGCAAUUAAAUUACGCCGAAGUCGAAAAUGGAAAACUCCCGUCGCGAGUUCGCGAGCGAGUUCGUUGCGCUUUUAUGUACAAAUUAAUCGAGAAAACACGGAUCGAUGGAGAAUUUCCCGAUCUGCUGGACGACGCUCGCGCGAUCUGACAAUUUAAUGACGACGUCAGAGAGAGGAAACGCCGUGGACGUCCACUAAUAUAAUAUCAAUUAUUGUCCAUUAAUACGACGUGAAUUAUUGAAAUUGGCAUUUAAUGUAAUAUCCAUUUCGAGAACGCGCACGUAUCUCGAUCGCGAAGAAAUUCACGAAUCCUGCGAGCGCUUCAUCGCGCAUUAUCCGUGCAUACGAUCGGAGAACGGCACUCUCCGUCUCGGCAGACGUCGAUCUUGAAUAAUGUAGCGCGUCACCGUCAGUCUCGGUGUCACCUGCGUGUUGCAUCAAGACAUCACUUAUUCUCAUACACGUAAAUUUCUCUUCCGCCCUCGAGCAGCGUCAUUAAAAUCUCGUUUUGGGCGUGCGCGUAAAGUGUCGAAGCGAGUGCAGCAACUCUGUCGCAUCUGUUAUUCGAUCUUCGAAUGAUUCGGGCCCACACAUUCUUACAUGGUAAAAAACAUUUUGUAUUCGUCUUCAAGUCGAUCCGUAUAGAAAUUUUCACACAUUCGUCAAUUUAACGUUUGUCCUUGUGUUCUUUUGACCAUUUUGCGUUCCUGUACAGCGCAAAUGUCUAGAAUACAUUUUGGAAACAUCCUAGAGACUUAAAGAAAUAAUAGGAUAUCUUUCAGACAUCUCUAGGAUAUUUUUUGGACGCUUCUAUGAAUUCAUAUUCAUCGUUUCUGUUAAAAUAACAUAAUUGUGUCCAAGUAUUACAUUUUAAUAUUAUGUAUUAUUUGCUUACAUAUUUGUCUUAUUUUAAAUUUACACAAAAAUUAGAAUAAAUAAAUUGGGACAUGUAUAAAAAAUGUUAAAUUUGACGCCAAAUCUUUUACAGU